rnacentral:rRNA from 1 species
AGGAGCCGAAGAAGGACGGGACUAACACCGAUAUGCUUUGGGGAGCUGUACGUAAGCGUUGAUCCAGAGAUUUCCGAAUGGGGGAACCCACUAUCUUUAGUCGGAUAGUAUCCUUACGUGAAUACAUAGCGUGAGGAAGGCAGACCCAGGGAACUGAAACAUCUAAGUACCUGGAGGAAGAGAAAGAAAAAUCGAUUUCCUGAGUAGCGGCGAGCGAAACGGAAAGAGCCCAAACCAAGAAGCUUGCUUCUUGGGGUUGUAGGACACUCUAUACGGAGUUACAAAAGAAAGUUAUAAAUGAAGCGGUCUGGAAAGGCCCGCCAAAGACGGUAACAGCCCGGUAGUUGAAAUGGCUUUCCCUCCAGAGUGGAUCCUGAGUACGGCGGAACACGUGAAAUUCCGUCGGAAUCCGGGAGGACCAUCUCCCAAGGCUAAAUACUCCCUAGUGACCGAUAGUGAACCAGUACCGUGAGGGAAAGGUGAAAAGCACCCCGGAAGGGGAGUGAAACAGUUCCUGAAACCGUGUGCCUACAAGUAGUUAGAGCCCGUUAAUGGGUGAUAGCGUGCCUUUUGUAGAAUGAACCGGCGAGUUACGAUUUGUUGCAAGGUUAAGCGGAAAAAGCGGAGCCGUAGCGAAAGCGAGUCUGAAUAGGGCGCAUAAGUAACAGGUCGUAGACCCGAAACCAGGUGAUCUACCCAUGUCCAGGAUGAAGGUAAGGUAAUACUUACUGGAGGUCCGAACCCACGCACGUUGAAAAGUGCGGGGAUGAGGUGUGGGUAGCGGAGAAAUUCCAAUCGAACUUGGAGAUAGCUGGUUCUCUCCGAAAUAGCUUUAGGGCUAGCCUCGAGGUAAAGAGUCAUGGAGGUAGAGCACUGUUUGGACUAGGGGCCCUUCUCGGGUUACCGAAUUCAGAUAAACUCCGAAUGCCAUGUACUUAUACUCGGGAGUCAGACUGCGAGUGAUAAGAUCCGUAGUCGAAAGGGAAACAGCCCAGACCACCAGUUAAGGUCCCCAAAUAUAUGUUAAGUGGAAAAGGAUGUGGGGUUGCUUAGACAACCAGGAUGUUGGCUUAGAAGCAGCCACCAUUGAAAGAGUGCGUAAUAGCUCACUGGUCGAGUGACCCCGCGCCGAAAAUGUACCGGGGCUAAACAUAUUACCGAAA